rnacentral:rRNA from 1 species
GAUGAACGCUGGCGGCGUGCCUAAUACAUGCAAGUCGAGCGAACGGACGAGAAGCUUGCUUCUCUGAUGUUAGCGGCGGACGGGUGAGUAACACGUGGAUAACCUACCUAUAAGACUGGGAUAACUUCGGGAAACCGGAGAUAAUACCGGAUAAUAUUUUGAACCGCAUGGUUCAAAAGUGAAAGACGGUUUUGCUGUCACUUAUAGAUGGAUCCGCGCUGCAUUAGCUAGUUGGUAAGGUAACGGCCUACCAAGGCAACGAUGCAUAGCCGACCUGAGAGGGUGAUCGGCCACACUGGAACUGAGACACGGUCCAGACUCCUACGGGAGGCAGCAGUAGGGAAUCUUCCGCAAUGGGCGAAAGCCUGACGGAGCAACGCCGCGUGAGUGAUGAAGGUCUUCGGAUCGUAAAACUCUGUUAUUAGGGAAGAACAUAUGUGUAAGUAACUGUGCACAUCUUGACGGUACCUAAUCAGAAAGCCACGGCUAACUACGUG